AGAGAGUGUGGAAUUCCCUGAGCAGAAUUGCUACCAACCAGAUUAGCCAACCUGUGCUGCAGACGGAAAUUCAAUGCAGCUUUCCAGGAUCUAAGUUUAUAGAGGAACUAAGAAAUUGUCCUAAUUGACAUAUGGCAAAGUUGAAGCUCUAACUUCAAAAAAAAGUACUGAACAACUCAGGAAGCACUGAAGAAAUUAACAGCAAAAAGCUGGAUGUACAUGCAAGUACACACAAAGAUUUUGGCCAGGGUCGCAAAAAAGAAUCAAACACAUAUUUGGAAAAGAAAUGAUCUGCCAUAAACUCCACACACCUCAUCCCAAAAGGAGAAUCCUCACAAAUCUCAACUCCAGACCAUGAUCUACAGCCUUGCCAUGGUCUGAAAACUAAGACAACCAAGACAAAACUAAGGCAUAGAUUGUGAGUUUGAAAGGAUUUCCCCCUUAAUGCAACAGAGAAAAAGUCUCU